rnacentral:rRNA from 1 species
UACGAGGGGGGCGAGCGUUGUUCGGAAUUAUUGGGCGUAAAGGGCGCGUAGGCGGUCGGAUAAGUCUUGUGUGAAAUCUUCGGGCUCAACUCGAAGUCUGCACAGGAAACUAUCUGGCUUGAGUGUGGGAGAGGUGAGUGGAAUUCCUGGUGUAGCGGUGAAAUGCGUAGAUAUCAGGAGGAACACCUGUGGCGAAAGCGGCUCUCUAGUACGGUACUGACGCUGAGACGCGAAAGCGUGGGGAGCGAACAGG